rnacentral:misc_RNA from 1 species
UUUCCGUAGGUGAACCUGCGGAAGGAUCAUUCAUAAUAAGUGUUUUAUGGCACUUUUUUAAAUCCAUAUCCACCUUGUGUGCAAUGUCAGGGUUGGUCUCUUUUGAUCAGCCCCAAACAUCAACUAUUAUCUCAACUCUUUGUCUGAAGAAUAUUAUGAAUGAAACAAUUCAAAAUACAACUUUCAACAACGGAUCUCUUGGCUCUC